rnacentral:rRNA from 1 species
AACGAACGCUGGCGGCAUGCCUAACACAUGCAAGUCGAACGAUGCCUUCGGGCAUAGUGGCGCACGGGUGCGUAACGCGUGGGAAUCUGCCCUUGGCUUCGGAAUAACAGUUAGAAAUGACUGCUAAUACCGGAUAAUGUCCCCCUGAGAGAUCUUGGGGACCAAAGAUUUAUCGGCCAGGGAUGAGCCCGCGUAGGAUUAGGUAGUUGGUGGGGUAAAGGCCUACCAAGCCGACGAUCCUUAGCUGGUCUGAGAGGAUGAUCAGCCACACUGGGACUGAGACACGGCCCAGACUCCUACGGGAGGCAGCAGUGGGGAAUAUUGGACAAUGGGGGGAACCCUGAUCCAGCAAUGCCGCGUGAGUGAUGAAGGCCUUAGGGUUGUAAAGCUCUUUUACCAGGGAUGAUAAUGACAGUACCUGGAGAAUAAGCUCCGGCUAACUCCGUG